GCGUUUGACCUCAAAUCAGGUAGGAUUACC
rnacentral:rRNA from 1 species